ACUGAACGCUGGCGGCAGGCUUAACACAUGCAAGUCGAGCGGAGAUGAGGUGCUUGCACCUUAUCUUAGCGGCGGACGGGUGAGUAAUGCUUAGGAAUCUGCCUAUUAGUGGGGGACAACAUUCCGAAAGGAAUGCUAAUACCGCAUACGUCCUACGGGAGAAAGCAGGGGAUCUUCGGACCUUGCGCUAAUAGAUGAGCCUAAGUCGGAUUAGCUAGUUGGUGGGGGAAAGGCCUACCAAGGCGACGAUCUGUAGCGGGUCUGAGAGGAUGAUCCGGCACACUGGGACUGAGACACGGCCCAGACUCCUACGGGAGGCAGCAGUGGGGAAUAUUGGACAAUGGGGGGAACCCUGAUCCAGCCAUGCCGCGUGUGUGAAGAAGGCCUUAUGGUUGUAAAGCACUUUAAGCGAGGAGGAGGCUACUGAGACUAAUACUCUUGGAUAGUGGACGUUACUCGCAGAAUAAGCACCGGCUAACUCUGUGCCAGCCGCCGCCGUAAUAC
rnacentral:rRNA from 1 species